GAAUAUAUCAAAGAGCAUCAUAAUUCAAUGGUAGCCAAGGAUUGAACCUAAGUCAAAUCUCUCUCACUCGGGCAUCAAGAAGCCCUUUUCCGAGGUUGCCCUCCAGACGAGAGAAUCCCGAAAAAAGGCCCUAUUUUCCUCUGCUCUCAAUCCUCGCAGGGUGUUUUAUGAGGCUCUCAAUAGGUUUACUGAUUAAAGGUGGUUGAUAAUGAGAAAUGAUGGCUAAGAUGAUGUACAGUCCUUACGCACUUCUCUUCUGAGAAUCUAUUGGGGCAAGGAUGUGAGCAUUGAGAACAUGCAUCAAGGUUUCACUCAUGUCUUCGAGUCAACCUUCGAGAGUGUGGAAGGCAUUGCAGAGUAUGUAUCUCAUCCAGCCCAUGUCGAAUUCGCAAAUCUGUUCCUGCCCCACCUGGAGAAAGUCAUUGUUUUCGACUACAAGCCCAUUACAGUCCAUCUCUGAAUCAAAAGGCCAAUGACAAUUAUCAAUUAUCCGGCCAGUUUAAUCUUGUAAUAAAGUUAAUGUGCCAUAUGUGCAAACUGGAUUCAGGUUUUGUUGAACCCUUCAAAUCCCAGUUUAAAAAAAUGCAGACUUGGAAUUGUGGAUUUUGAAUUUUUUUGAGCUAAUUUCUUUAGUGAAUGUUGAAGUUGAUGGUCUUGUUUGAUGAUGUGAA